GGUCAGUGGAUGUGAAACAGGCAUCGGACACGCUGUGCACCUUGGGACGCAUCUGAGAAGUGCGUGCUUGCGGCAGGUCUGAGCACAAUUUCUCCCAGUGAAGUCGUGAGAAAUAGAAGGAAAGGUGGAAUGAAGAUGUGAUUGAGGAAAGUGUGGUGUGGUCUUCGACCUUAUUUUGCCUUGGUUGGUGCUCAAGAACUUCACCUGACCUCAGAGCUGAGCAUUUCUGCCAGGAAGUCCUGCCUUUUAUGCUACCUCGAGGCCUGUUGAGACACUCCAAGAAGCUUCGUUCACAAAUUGCGUUUUCCUUUUACAGCAGUUGGAUAUAUUUGCAGCAAAACAAAGGAAUAACCCCCCAAUAUGGUGAUGAAAUGCAUUUAAGUAUAGAUAACAUUCAGUCUUGAAGGGCCUGGGAUUUUAAUCAUCUUUGGGUCAUGUAACAAGUGGUGUUGGUGAUUAAAAUCUCCUGACAGCUUUGUUCUGCCACGUUCCUGAGUUUUAAAUGAUGAUCUUCCUGGUUGUACCUUGGAGGGGCAUUUGUAUCAGUAGAGAGCAGAGUGGUGGUUCCCAGAGGCUGGGAAAGGACAGAGGUGAGGCCCCUGAAGGACACUGGUCUUCCUGGUUUAGGGAUUUGGGGCUCAGCCACCUUCCUGUGUCCGUGUAAAUUAUACCCAGGAUCAUUUUCACUCGCCCCACUUUAGUUGAGCAUUGGAGCUUCAGGAUAUGUGUGCCCACGUCACCUGGGCCGUGAUCCUGGAGUUGGGUGAGACUGAUUCCCGGGUUUGUAGAAUUACUCUGGGAUUAUUGAAAACAGAAGCACUUGAGGCAUUCAUAAUGCUAUUUCCUGAACGUAAUUUAUGUUCAGUUCUUCAGAAACAUUUAUCUGAGGAAGCAUCUACAAUUUUUGUUUUCUGCCACUCAGUGCUAGGAAGAAUUGUGCAACACUCAAGUGAGUGGCAUUAUUCCUCUCCCUCCACCAUGCAAGCAAGAUUAAAGGUACCUCUGGCUCCCCUCAAUCUUCUCAUCUGCAGGGUGCCUGGCGUGGCAGUGUGCGGCUUUCCGUCUUCUUUUUGGGGAGAAUUAGUUGUGUUUGUACUUCUCAGUUCAGCCUGGUGCAGUUGUGUGCGUGAGGAGCUUGGAUGCUAGGUGACCCUCCCAGGCCUGCCUCCCCCCUCCUUAGGCCUUGUUCUAAACUGACAGAUAAACAGUGUGUUUUGGAAGAGGACAGCAGCAGGGCAGGAGAGAGUUUGUUCAGACUUUCUCCUUGCACUGACGUUUGAGCCUUCAUCCAGCCUGGGCACUUCUACAGAGCUGCUUUUGUGUGUUGCAAACCAUUCCCUCCCAGUAACCGUGCUUUCAGAGGUUUGGAAAUGUGACUUAACUCAUCUUCAAUUUAAAGCGUACUAUUAAAUUUUAGUGUUGAAACUGA